AUUGAACGCUGGCGGCAGGCCUAACACAUGCAAGUCGAACGGUAACAGGAAGCAGCUUGCUGCUUCGCUGACGAGUGGCGGACGGGUGAGUAAUGUCUGGGAAGCUGCCUGAUGGAGGGGGAUAACUACUGGAAACGGUAGCUAAUACCGCAUAAUGUCGCAAGGCCAAAGAGGGGGACCUUCGGGCCUCUUGCCAUCGGAUGUGCCCAGAUGGGAUUAGCUUGUUGGUGGGGUAACGGCUCACCAAGGCGACGAUCCCUAGCUGGUCUGAGAGGAUGACCAGCCACACUGGAACUGAGACACGGUCCAGACUCCUACGGGAGGCAGCAGUGGGGAAUAUUGCACAAUGGGCGCAAGCCUGAUGCAGCCAUGCCGCGUGUAUGAAGAAGGCCUUCGGGUUGUAAAGUACUUUCAGCGGGGAGGAAGGGAGUAAAGUUAAUACCUUUGCUCAUUGACGUUACCCGCAGAAGAAGCACCGGCUAACUCCGUG
rnacentral:rRNA from 1 species